GUGAGGAAUAUUGGUCAAUGGUCGCAAGACUGAACCAGCCAUGCCGCGUGCAGGAAGACGGUCCUAUGGAUUGUAAACUGCUUUUAUACAGGAAGAAACCCUCCCACGUGUGGGAGCUUGACGGUACUGUAGGAAUAAGGAUCGGCUAACUCCGUGCCAGCAGCCGCGGUAAUACGGAGGAUCCAAGCGUUAUCCGGAAUCAUUGGGUUUAAAGGGUCCGUAGGCGGUCUUAUAAGUCAGUGGUGAAAGCCCAUCGCUCAACGAUGGAACUGCCAUUAAUACUGUAGGACUUGAAUGCUUAGGAAGUAACUAGAAUAUGUAGUGUAGCGGUGAAAUGCUUAGAUAUUACAUGGAAUACCAAUUGCGAAGGCAGGUUACUACUAAGUGAUUGACGCUGAUGGACGAAAGCGUGGGGAGCGAACAGGAUUAGAUACCCGGGUAGUCC
rnacentral:rRNA from 1 species